rnacentral:rRNA from 1 species
CAGCCGCCGCGGUAAUACGGAGGGGGCUAGCGUUGUUCGGAAUUACUGGGCGUAAAGCGCACGUAGGCGGCUUUGCAAGUCAGAGGUGAAAGCCCGGGGCUCAACCCCGGAAUUGCCUUUGAGACUGCAUCGCUAGAACGUCGGAGAGGUAAGUGGAAUUCCGAGUGUAGAGGUGAAAUUCGUAGAUAUUCGGAAGAACACCAGUGGCGAAGGCGACUUACUGGACGACUGUUGACGCUGAGGUGCGAAAGCGUGGGGAGCAAACAGG